GACAGUGUGGCCGAGCGGUUAAGGCGUCUGACUCGAAAUCAGUUGGGCUUUGCCCUCGCAGGUUCGAAUCCUGCUGCUGUCG